rnacentral:rRNA from 1 species
AGUGAACGCUGGCGGUAGGCCUAACACAUGCAAGUCGAACGGCAGCACAGUAAGGGCUUGCUCUUACGGGUGGCGAGUGGCGGACGGGUGAGGAAUACAUCGGAAUCUACUUUUUCGUGGGGGAUAACGUAGGGAAACUUACGCUAAUACCGCAUACGACCUACGGGUGAAAGCAGGGGAUCUUCGGACCUUGCGCGAUUGAAUGAGCCGAUGUCGGAUUAGCUAGUUGGCGGGGUAAAGGCCCACCAAGGCGACGAUCCGUAGCUGGUCUGAGAGGAUGAUCAGCCACACUGGAACUGAGACACGGUCCAGACUCCUACGGGAGGCAGCAGUGGGGAAUAUUGGAUAAUGGGCGCAAGCCUGAUCCAGCCAUACCGCGUGGGUGAAGAAGGCCUUCGGGUUGUAAAGCCCUUUUGUUGGGAAAGAAAAGCAGCAGGUUAAUACCCCGCUGUUCUGACGGUACCCAAAGAAUAAGCACCGGCUAACUUCGUG